rnacentral:lncRNA from 1 species
GCGUCCUAAGUUUAGCCCAUUUGAAUUAUUAUCAACCAGAUUAAAGUUAUUAAAAAUGAAAUAAUCCCAGAAAAGAAAAUAAAGUUAAAAUGGCCUUAUUACAACCCAAAAAUAAAUAAUAAAUAAGGUAAACUAAAGAAAACCAAUCACUUAUUUCUAAAGCCCAAAAUCGACCACUGUGGCCACUCUGAAUCCCCUCCAGCUCCAAGU